UAGUUAAUAAAAAAGGAGAUUGAACAUUAAUCAUGACGAUAAUGCUUCAUUAGACGCCAGGCCAAUAACCUAAUUCAUCAAACAAACAUUCGUUUGCGGAUGCGGAAAACAUCGUCCCAAUUUUUAUUUCUACUUUCCGAAAAUUUCCAAUGGUACUGAUUGCUGCAAGAAUUAUUUAGCGAUUUGGAGCAUAAUCAACACAAUAUGUAUAUGCACAUAAAUAUGUAUUAUUUCACAGAUCUCAGGGUCAGCUUAGAAAUACGUCACCAAAAUUAUAUAAAAUUUAAGUGGGAAUUAUUUUUACUUAUAACGUAAAAGCGCUAUCUGACCCAAUCU